UACGUAGGGGACGAGCGUUGUCCGGAUUUAUUGGGCGUAAAGAGCGUGUAGGCGGCCAGGUAGGUCCGUUGUGAAAACUCGAGGCUCAACCUCGAGACGUCGAUGGAAACCAUCUGGCUAGAGUCCGGAAGAGGAGAAUGGAAUUCCCGGUGUAGCGGUGAAAUGCGCAGAUAUCAGGAGGAACACCAAUGGCGAAGGCAGCUCGCUGGAACGGUACUGACGCUGAGGCGCGAAAGCGUGGGGAGCGAACAGG
rnacentral:rRNA from 1 species